CCUAACCCCUUGUCCCUGCCAAGCCUAAAUCCAAGCCCAAUCUCUCACAAAUUUAUCAAGCUGACUUGAAAAUUAAAAAAAUCUAGUCCUACCGUCUCCUUCCUCUCCCUUCUCUCACUGAAGCUUGAGCUCUCAUCUCUUUGCUCACUGGCUCAAUCUCAAGGUCUCUCCCACUCUCAUCUCUGGUUAAGCACUCAAGGUCCUAGUCGCUCUCUAUGUUAUCAAUCAUCACUGUCUUGUCGGUCGUCACCGUUUCGAACUCAGUCGCGCUCGGACGCCUUCCCUGAGCUCGUCGUCACCGGCGGAAGAAGCAACUGGUAGGAGUUACUAGAGCCAUCGUCACGGAACGUGCAUCAUAGUGAUCCAUUAUUGCAUGCGGAGGCGGAUGCAGUAGCGUUGAUAUAGGUAUGGAAGAGGCCGGAGGAGGAGUAGUUGAGCGGCCACAUAAGAAGCAUUUGGGUGCAAUUGAGGUAAACAAUGGUAUUAGAGCUUAUGAUGUUGAAAGGGAGGGUGCUGUUGAGCUGGAUCCCUGGGUGAACCUUAUUGGUGGUGACACACAUGUUCGGCAGGAGCAGUGCAGGACGGAUGUUGAUGCGUUGGGACUGAGGGUUUAUGGACUCGAUCGGGUAGGAUUUGUUGAGCGUGUCAUAGACGAGAGUGUUGGAGGUACAAAGGAUCUUGUAGGCGUGGUUGCCACAGGUUGGGGUGGUGCUUAGUGGGAAUGGGAUGGUGGCAUUGCCGCACCGGGGGCAUGGUGUUGCUGGUGUCACGUGAGGAGCACGUGAGAUGAAAAAAAAAGGGGAUGAUAGAAGGAAGAUGAGGAGGUUGGUUGGGGAUAAGAGCAGGAGAUAUGGCUAUUUUGUACUGGCAAAGAGCUGCUAGUUAUAGGCCGACUAGAAUAUUUGACAUUUUGCAGUUUGUUGCUGCAUAAUCAACACCAGCUCCUUGUCCUGCUGCUCAGGUUCAGAGAAAAAUUAUCUCCAAAGAGUGAGAAUUUGGCUGUAGCUUCUGCUGACAACAUACAUGCAAAGCCCAAAUCCAAGCCUAUCGACAGACAGGUGAAGGUCUUCUUUGCUGUUCCUGAAACUGUUGUAGCAAAAAUUGAGCUGCCAGAUGGUGUUGUACUUCAAGGUGUAUUUUCUCUAUGGAAACCAACUAUGGCCCUCUAUGAGAUUUGUCCUUUAACAAAUUCGAUACUUUGUUUUGAGGGAAAAAUUCAAUCAUGGAAGUUGGAAAUUUCUUGAGUUAACAAUUUACUGUCGGAUAACUAUAAUUGCAAUUUAUAAAGAAGACCCUAGUUG